ACGCUCGACACCUACGGAGGCAGCAGUGGGGAAUAUUGCACAAUGGGGGAAACCCUGAUGCAGCAACGCCGCGUGAAGGAAGACGGUUUUCGGAUUGUAAACUUCUGUUCUUAGUGAAGAUAGUGACGGUAGCUAAGGAGCAAGCCACGGCUAACUACGUGCCAGUAGCCGCGGUAAUCUGAGGCGGGCGUGGCAAGGC
rnacentral:rRNA from 1 species